GCCGGGGCGUCCCCCGCGGGAGCCCGCAGCCACCCGGGACGCGCAUCCAGACGUGGCGCUUCGGACCGGGCACGCUGCGCCCGGGGGCUCGGCGGACCCCGCGUAGCCGCCGCUUCGGAGCUUGUGCGGCGCGGGCUGGCCAGCGGGGCGGCCAGGGCCCGGCCCGCCUCCCCAGCGCCCGCCCGGCUUCUCCCCCUGGCGGUGGGAGCCUCGGCGGCCGCUGGCGACACUAGGCGCACUGAAGCCCGAGCCGAGCCGAGCCCGAGCCGCCGCCGCCGCCGCCGCUGCUGCGCACCGCUCCCGGGCUCCCUCCCAGCGCGCCGGCCGGGGUGUGGGGGGCGGCGGGCCGGAGGGGCGAGGGCGGGCCAGGGGGCGCACACGGGGGUUGGCGCGGAAGACAGGACCCUCAGCCUCGAGGGAGCCCCUAGGUGACCAGGCAAAAUGGCAGUUCCUUCCAGCUGGUCCUCAGAUGGGCACAUCUAUUAGCCUCUGCUCUUGUAAGAAGUUAGCUGCAGAACCCACAUGUGAAUCCUUGUAGGACUCUGGAGAAGAUCAAAUGGGAGCUUAGAUGUGGAAGCUCUUUGGAAACCAAGAAACACUCUGAAAAUGAAAAGGUCUUUCCCCCAAAUGUGAUAAGAAUACAUAGCUACAGAGGGAGGAGCCAAGAUGGCCGAAUAGGAACAGCUCCAGUCUACAGCUCCCAGCCUGAGGGACGCAGAAGAUGGGUGAUUUCUGCAUUUCCAUCUGAGGUGGAAGAGUAAACUGUUCCUGUUUCUCCAUCUUGACAGGAAGCAGAAGUUCUCCUUAGCUGAUUUUUCUUCUUGCCUUAUACUGGGUUCUUUAACACCAGAACAAAAAUAAAUAAAUAAAAGAAUCUUCCAGAAAUUCAUGAAGAGACUUCAGGUCAGGAAAGCCUGAACUUUCUCAUCCAACACCCGUUCAAGUCGGAGGAUGCUGAUUAAUUCAUGAUGGAAAGGUAUCAAUUUCACAGCCCAGACCUCUACAUUCUUGAAAUGCUCUUCUCAUGGGAGACAUUAAAUAAGCUUUGAAUUAACUAAAAAUAUCCAACCCGAGCAGGAUAAAACUGAUCAUCCUGAGGAUAUUGCCCUUGGAGUUAAUUUUUUGAGAGAAAUAAAACAAUAAACAUCAUAAGACACAAACCCCAAGCAACUGAUCUCACUGUUAAAAUCCAACCUGAGAACAAUGGAAUGGAUAAUGGUCAUUUCAACUGUCUUUGAGUCUGGAGGUUGCUUUUAACAAACUGAAUUGUAUUGCUGCUGGGCUAGUUAACAUUCAUAUUAGACUUUCAAAACAGUGUGGAGAAAACAGUCAGCUCUUUGAUGGCAUUUAUGAUGGACACACAGCUGGGCUAAUGAAGACAAUAUGUCAAGGCUUGAAGAGCAAUGAUUUUACAGAUUUUUGAGACAUCUAUUUGGGUUUAUAGAGCUGAUUUCCUCUUUGGAGGCUGCAUUCUGAAUUAAUGAUAACCACCUUUAUAGAGAAAACAUUGAAUAUGAAGUGUCCAAGGAAUUUAGGCUAAAGAAGUAAUUCUAGGACUAGUCAGACAAAGAGAAAUACUGUCUGAAAUGACUGAAU
rnacentral:lncRNA from 1 species